UUUCUUUACGGAGGGAGUACAUUCAUACAUUGUUUCAGAUAUUGAUGUUCUCAAACUACUUCGUACUCAUAUAGCUUCAGAAUAUUGAUUCAAAGAUGUACUCAGGAUAAGCAUAAGUUCAGGUAUGGAUGGGAAGAACAUCGGAUGUAGAUUCAUUGAAGUCGGUAGUUCUGCAUUUUGUUUUGUUUUAUAAUCAUAGUAUGUUUCACUCAUCGUGAGAUCAGCAUGUCUCAGCUAAAUGAGGCAAGUCAGAUUUCUUGCUGUGGUCUUAACCUCUUCUAUUCUACUCCCUCCGUUCCUAAAUAUAAGUCUUUGUAGAGAUUCCACUAUGAACCAUAUACGGAUGUAUAUAGAUGCAUUUUAAGUGUAGAUUCAUUCAUUUUGCUCCUUAUGUAGUCCAAGUAGUGGAAUCCCUACAAAGACUUAUAUUUUGGAACGGAGGGAGUACAUGAUAUAACCUCCUCGGUAAAAGAACCACCCAAGAAGCAUCAGUUCAGCAAUGCUCAGCUAGCUUUACAUUGGCCUUCUGCAUUAAUGGGAUGAAAUGGUUACAGACUUACAACUAAUUGAACUAAACUGCAAUCUCACUGCUGUGUUAUUGAUAGCAUGUUCUCUAGCUACAGAGGUCAAUGUUGAGUUCAGUUAUUUACGUACACAUCUGGCAUAUAUUCGAUUAUUUGGCUUAUCCUUUGAUGUUGAAAUACUUUUGGAAGUCAUGCAUCAUUUUGCUAAAGCUUAUUUAGGUACUCAAUUUGAACUGUGGGAUGUCUUGCUUGAAUGUCCUCGGAAUCAGGUUACUGUUAUGGAUACACGAUGAUAGAACAGUUCAAAGUGUUCCCUUCUGUUGAGAAAAUUAUUUUGAAUUAAUUUCACAGAUUAAGCCAUUUCAGUUGCUAUCUUAUUCUAUGCAGGCUUUUAUGCUGAUUUAUUAGAUCUAGUGCUCUUUAUAUAAAUCAAGAAGAUGGCAGUGGUCAAAGUGAUUUAUUUUCACAAUUCAACAUUCGAAGUGUUAGUGUUACUGAAGACCAAGUUGAGAUAGUAUAAAGGCGUAAUUCAGGCCUAAUUGAGCUGGACGACUGCUAAGUAUGUUCUCUGUCAGAUGACUUUUACUUAUGUACUACCUCCAUAAAAAAAUAUAAGACAAUUUUGUAGGCUAAACUAGCCUACAAAAACGUCUAUAUUUUGGGACGGAGGUAGUAGCUGAGUGGCCUAAAAUGUUGUUUUACACCUUGAGAGACCGGAUUUUAGUUUUAGGUAGCAUUAACUGUGUUAUGGAUGUUUAUGGUUCCUGUUCUGCUGCAGAAUCAGAUUAAAUGUUUUCCUUUUUUCUAUAUAUUUAUGUCCUAAAAAAUUUCACCAAACCUUUUUAAUUAAAAACUUGUUUACUAGUCUUCUCUGAAACGAGCUUGUGGGAAACUAGUGAAAGGGAACUACUUCACGCUUCUGACUAUGACCGUUUCGAUGUGCCCAAAGUGUGUAGUCGCCGCUAGUUGGUUCCAAUCAGUUUCACAACUUCCAUCAUCGCUAGUUGCUUCCUUUCAUCCUUUGUUUACUUAACUUUCAGCCACCUACUCCUAUAUCACUUUCCAAACUGUUUGAGUGGAUUUUCAUGCUUCCCGCUGAAGGCUCACAGUGGAGAUGAUCUUGUCAGCCGUUUCAUCUCCUUGAGCCAGAAAUAUGGGGAACAACGUGCGAGUGCGACGACGGAAACAGAUGACAUCUAGCGGCCGAAAAGUAUCUUGCUAAGAAUCCACAACAUCAUCGAGAAGGCGGAGGAAGGCAGUUCAUAAACCGUGGAAUGAUCCUCCAGCUCAAGGGGCUCGUGGAGGGCAUGUACCUACUACCUAAGUAUCUUGGGUACUAUGUGCUUGACACCUUCAAAUUUCCAGUUCAUUGAAGAUGAGGGUGCUCCUGACGAUCAUCAGGAGCCAUAAGCAAGGCGUCUCUGGCUGCUUGAUGGAUGGCCUUCGAUCUCUUGACCCGUCAUUUUGGAUUGGGUUGUCGUUGUGGGUUGGGAGGUGCCUGAUGUCUUGUGUCGAGGUGUUUUUGUCAGGUGUCUCUUACGUAAUAGCAAUGCUGGGGUUUGUGAGGAUGUUGUGCAUUCGGAGAGUCAGAUAGGGUCGCAUGUGCGGUUAUGGGGUUUCUUGCCAUAUGAGAGUAGUUAGAGCAUCUCCAACAGCCUUUGUAUAUUUGCACU